rnacentral:lncRNA from 1 species
CAAUCAUAAGGUUUCGACACGUAAAGUAUACUAAGUGUUGGACAGAGAUGUGCACCCAAAAUAAAGGAAAUGUAAAAUCCCUAAAACUUCAAUUCUUGUCAAUGGCGCUGGUAACACCUCAAGGUUGUCGUCUCUCCUUUUAUUCUCCAGUUCCUACACAAUAAAGUGACACAAAAUGGAACCAAAUCCCUAAAGCUUCGAAGCUUUCUCUUCAGCGGGUUCUCCUGCUCUAGCGAUGGCCAAGGAGUUAUUGACAGUGGCUACUCAACCGUGAGCAAGUCUCAUGGUAUGGACGCUAUACAAGGUGAAAUUUUCAUUCGAUGUGGAUGAAUUUAGGCCAAUAUGGAAACUUUCUAAUUAGGCCAAUAUGGCCGAAUCGGACUAGCCAUGAAAGCUCAAUGGUGGCUCAGCCCCCUGUUGUAGAGUAAUGGUUUUACUCUUGGGGCUAAUAUAUUACUAAAACUUUGAAGGUAGAUGAUAAUUUUUGUAGAUUUUUUUAUUAUUGUACGGUAAAAAAAUGCAGAACAAUAUUGGUGAGGUUUUAAUGGAAUCUUAUUGAGGAGUUUCUCAACUAAUUAUAUUAUGUCUGUUAAUGGCAGAGUGAGGGAGAUAAAUUGACAUCCCCUUUUAGGGAAUGAUUUACAGUGACAAACAUAAAAUAACAUAAAAGGGAGUUCAUCAUCCUUACAUUAAUGAGUUAAAGCUAGGCAAACUUUAGGAUGCUCUGUAUUGCAACAACAAUUUAGUUCUGUUAGGAUUGAGAUUAUCUCUUAAAAUUAGAAGAAGAUGAAAAAACCAUACCUGUUAGGAUUGCUGAACUAGGUUUUAUGUUAUAAGAGUAUUGUAUAGAAGCCUCACUCUUUAUCCUUUGGGUUCCUUCCUUUUGGUUGACUGACAUAUUGUUCUUUUUUUUACUCAAUAUGCAAAAUUGUACCUCUUUCUUUACUUCCAGAAUGCUACUAUUUUCUAUACUUCUUUUGCUAGAAAAACUCUCUCCCCCCUUUUGAUGUCUCUAUCUUUUCAUGCGUAUGUGUGAUAUUUUUUUAUCCCUUCAGUCCCCUGAAUGUUUUUUGUGUAUUAUGUCACUGUCUGUGAUAUGUCUUACUCUAUUUCCUUUUAUAGUGGAUUAGGUUUCUAUGUGAAAAUCUCUUGGGUUGUUCAUUGAGAUUCAGCAACGUGCAUAGCCUUUUGCUUUCUGAUUUACUAUAUUAAGGCUGCUCAUGAAUGCUGCCAUUUAUGCUGAUUAUGAUUGUGUGUUCGUGUAACUAUAAAGGGAAUAACCACUGAUUUACCAUUUCUUAAUUGUUUCUUUCAUGUGUAACUUUUGGAUGGUUGCUAUGACUAUUUAUGUAUUUAUGUUGAAUAUGUAAAUGAUGGGAAAGAUGCCAAUAUCAAUGAUUUCUGCUUGCAUCUCUUUAUUGCCAUCUUUUACAAUUCUGCUUGUUGAAAACUCAUGGCUGAUUGCAUUUUUCUUAAUAUCAUUUCAUUAAUGCCUUAUAGUGUAAUAUCUGAUCUUUAGUCUACCUUUAUAGGAAAAACACCAAUAGGUUUCCCAAUGCAUUCCGUUUUGGUCCCUUGUAACCUUUUGGAUGCACUUGUGAGAACACAAACAAUGAGGUAGCCAUUGAUUAACCCCAAGAAUGACAUAAAUAAUAUGAUCCAACUUUGAUCAUCAUAUUUUUCAGUAAAAUUUAGGUGCCCAAACUGUGUGAGCCUAUGUCUUAUGAUGUUGUUGCAUCAAUAAGGAAAGACUGGAUGAAUUCUGGAGGCAUGUAGGACAGGUCUCCAACCAAUCCACCUUGUGAAUUUACUAUUCCAGAUGGGUUCCGACAUGAUGGAAGCUACAUUACUUGGCUUUACUUUUGGAGUCUAAAUGAAAUGGGUUCUUAUAAUGUCACAGACUCUUUAUUUAUGUCUGAUGUAUAAACACCAUAUACAAACCCAGACUUGAACUUUCUAGUCUUUGAACUCGUGUAUAGUUGAAUAGUACAAAAUUUAUUGUUUAUACUUAUCUUUGUUCCUUCACCCCAUAAAACAUUAUUUCUAUUUCUUGUAACUCCUUAGUUAACUAGAUUGGUAUUGAGAUUCACGGUUGUCGAAUUGCAUCAAUGGCUGAGUUAGUACCAUUAUUAAGUUAAAAGAUUUAGGCGAAUGAGAUUUGGCUAUAUUGGUUUUAAUAAAACAGAACUAAGACUAGAGAAAUUUGAAGAAUGUAGUAGUUGUUGCGGUAUAGUAGAAUGCGUGGGUGUGUUGAUAAUAGUAGAUUUCUCAAAUUAACAGGUAGAGGGUUGCUUUCCCUACUAAUAAUUAAAAAAUGUAGAAAUAUAAGUGUUACACAAAGACUACGUACAUGGUCCAGGUUACAGGUAUUGUGGACUUCGUGGCAAUACUUGCACGUGUAUUUUAAUACACCAUAUUUGUGCUCUUUUCAAUUUGUAUGUUGUUUUGAGAUUUUUGUAUAUUUUUUUAUUUAGUGAAUAUAGGCAGGACAAAAUUGAGUGUUCACACACCUCUUUUUUAUUUUGGGAGAUAAUAACUUGUCAUAUGGUCUCCUGUGAAUAUGUCACGCCCUUGACUUGUUUUCUGAAUAAGGGUUCCUGCCAUUCUCUCAAAUGUUUGGGAAAAUUAUUCAAAUUUUGAUUUGCCUCAUCCAGUUGUUGUUGUAAAAGUUUGUUUUGAGCUAGCACCACAUCAUUGGAUCCUAGCUCUAGCAUUCCUCAUCUCGUGGGUGGUCCCCUUAGGUGUUUACUUCUCUGAUCAUUUUGAGCUAUACACUUGAUGAUGUCAAUAGCUUCUUGUGGUGGCUUUGACAUCAGUUGAGCUCUGACUGUAGUAUUUGAAAUCCGCUUAUGCUAUUGGAGAAGACCAUUGAUUGAGGGCAUUCCUAAACAACUUGUAUCUAUCCUAUGCCUCUCAUAGACUUUCACCUUCACUUUUAGAGAAUGUAGAAAUUGCAGUUUCGAAGCCCAUAAACUUAACCUAUGAGAAAUACCUUGCCAUGAAUUUAUCUUUCACUUGAUUCUAGUGAUGUUGUAUGUGUUGUGGAAGGUCUAGGAACCAUUCUUUGGUCUCUCCAAUGAGUAUCAUUGGAGAGAGCCUUAGAAAGAUGAUUUCCUCCUCAGUUUUAGUAAUCCUAACAUUUCCUACCAAUUCCUAGAAUUCGGUAAGGUGGGUGUGUGGAUCUUCAUGAUUAAGUCCUGCAAAAGGAUUAGCGUACAUCAGUUGCACAAUUCCUAUCUUCAUCUUAGGUGAUCUUUGAGUUUUGUUUGGUCUUCCAAUUCUUAUCAUGUUUUUUGAUCCAAAACUGACAUAAACUCUUCUCACUUCAUUGUUUUAAUUGACUCAUGGUUUGUUGUUGUCUAUAUGUUGUUGAUGUGCCAUAGUUUCGGCUUGUGAGAAAUUUGAAGAAUAUGAUACUUGUUCAUUUCUCAACUUUGCUAGUUGCACCUUUUUCCUUGUUUUGUUGUUAUUCUUUCUAAUUAUUUUCUCAAUUUCAGGAUUGAACAAAAGCAAAUCAUCCGGAGUCAUGCUUCACAUAAACAAUGAAAGUGUGUUAUCUAGCCAAAAAGAUUAGUUUACAAGAAAAUAAAGGAAAAUUAAAAACAGAAAACUAUUUAAAAUAUUCACAAUUUCAUAAAGAUAAAAACUCAAGCCAUGCUUUUCUAUUGAUAGAAUUCUCCGACAAUGGCGCCAUUUUGAUGGGAGGUUGGUAUGGUGAUCUUAUGAAAGUAGGAUGUGAGAAUGAUUAUGAUGUUUCAGUUAGUGGAUGGUGGUGAAGUUUUUUUUUCUCCUUUAAUAGAUUUACUAUCGACUCCUUUCAAAACUCGUUUGUAGUAUAGUAUAGGGUUAUCUUAUACCCACAAGGAAUUGGGAUACAAAAAUAUGUUGUUAUUUAGUUUAAAUCAUAAACAAUCAAAUUUAAAUAGAAGUUGUUCUAGUGUUAACUACAAAUAAUGUAAAAGUAAGAAUAAGAUUGGAACUAGUGUCCACUUUUAACAAUUAAUUUCUAAUUGAU